CUGUAACGAAUGAGCCAAUGCAAGCAAUGGAAAUAUUUGAGUUUGUUAGAGAUAUAUAUUGUUUUCCAAAUAUUUUAAUUGCUUAUCGUAUUUUGUUUACUGUACCGGUGACAGUAGCAUCGGCUGAGCGUAGCUUUUCUAAGUUGAAGUUACUAAAAAACUAUUUAAGAUCAUCAAUGUCUCAAGAAAGAUUAAAUGGUCUGGCAAUUUUGUGUAUCGAGAAAAAUAAGUUGGAUGAGAUAAAUACGAAUGCAAUUAUAAACGACUUUGCUUCUAGAAGUGUUAGGAGAAAUGGCAAGUUCUGAAUUCAAUUUGCUAUACUGUGACUUGCACACGAAGAGGAAGCUUUCGAAAAUUGGUGAAGAAUAUGGAGUGGUGGGCAUGAUCUAAAUAAAGUCUUACUGUAAAUGCCCCUCUCUGGUUCUCUUUUAAGUAGGAACUGCGGCGACUUCAUCUCCUAUCUAGAUUGAAGAAAGACAUGUUCUGCCUUGUCAAUCCUAGUUCCUAGCAAAGCGGAACUUUUGCGGAAGCAGCGGAAUCAUGAUUAGUUCGCUUGAUUGAGACAAAUCAAAAAUAAUAUUAUUUUUAGAGUGAUGCUCUGUCAUUUUGAGAGUUCAAAACAUUAUGGAUCUAUGAUAUGUACUGAAUAUUCUUUGUUAUUGAAAUAUGAUGGUUUUUUAGGUUGCAA